GACGAACGCUGGCGGCGUGCCUAAUACAUGCAAGUCGAGCGAAGUUUUUCUGGUGCUUGCACUAGAAAAACUUAGCGGCGAACGGGUGAGUAACACGUAAAGAACCUGCCUUAUAGACUGGGACAACUAUUGGAAACGAUAGCUAAUACCGGAUAACAGCAUUAACUGCAUGGUUGAUGUUUAAAAGUUGGUUUUGCUAACACUAUGAGAUGGCUUUGCGGUGCAUUAGCUAGUUGGUGGGGUAAAGGCCUACCAAGGCGACGAUGCAUAGCCGACCUGAGAGGGUGAUCGGCCACACUGGGACUGAGACACGGCCCAGACUCCUACGGGAGGCAGCAGUAGGGAAUCUUCCGCAAUGGGCGAAAGCCUGACGGAGCAACGCCGCGUGAGUGAAGAAGGAUUUCGGUUCGUNAAGCU
rnacentral:rRNA from 1 species